ACUCUAGUCUGGCAUUGUAAGGAGACAUGAGAGGUGUAGCAUAAGUGGGAGAUCGUUUCGCGCGAUCGUCGCUGAAAAACCACUACUUUCAUUGUUUCAUUACUUACUCGGUUGGGCGGAAGCGGUGCGCGGUCGAUAAUAUCGGCGGGCGCACGGUGUUUCGUUCCAAGCGUGCAGAGUGGUGACGUGGCGGAAACGCUCGUCGCCGUUUAAAACUCCCGCGUGAUCCGGUUCGAGGACACUGCCAGGCGGGGAGUUUGACUGGGGCGGUACAUCUGUCAAAGAAUAACGCAGGUGUCCUAAGGCCAGCUCAGCGAGGACAGAAACCUCGCGUGGAGCAAAAGGGCAAAAGCUGGCUUGAUCCAGAUGUUCAGUACGCAUAGGGACUGCGAAAGCACGGCCUAUCGAUCCUUUAGUAUAAAGAGUUUUUAGCAAGAGGUG
rnacentral:rRNA from 9 species